GUUUGCUUUUUUUACGAGACAUACAACAUUCAAGAACCAUCACCCAGCACAAUUCCAACCGUAUUUAAAUACAUAAUCUCUCCCUUUCCAAUCCUCACAUUCAGUCGAUUUCUAUCCAACCAACCUGACAAUCAGUUAAGUAAGUUGCAAAUUUAUUCGCAAAAAUGGCCCUGACUUGUACCGACAUUUGCAAAUUCAUCCUGGCCGUGAUCCUCCCUCCGUUGGGCGUCUUGGCGGAGAAGGGGUGCGGAAAGGAUUUGGCGAUUAACAUCCUUCUCACGCUGUUGGGCUACAUUCCCGGAAUUAUUCAUGCUUGCUACAUCAUUUUGAAGUAUUGAGGAGGGAGUGGAGGUUGUGGAGAGAGCUGCCAUCAUCACAUCGUGCCUAUUUUUUCCUUCCCACCUACAAAAACUCAUCACUACUAAAUUACAUCACAUAACUUGUUCCAUAAUAAUUUACUAAAUUCCUGCCUGGACUGCAAAUUCAAUGAAGCCUGCCUAAACAGAUAAAUGAAUACGACUGAAUUGGACUGGAUAUCGAGGAGAAGAAUGAAAAAUUGUGAAAAAAAACACAAAAAAGAGCUGCUAUCAUCAAUCAAAUUUCAGUUAUAUUUUGCAAAAGUGAGGAAAAAAUUAACGUCUUGAGCUUUCUGUGUAUGUAUCAAAAUUGUGAAACGUGUAAUAACGAGACAAUCAAAAAUUUAGAAUUUUGAUAAUUUUAUCUAUGUAUUUUGUAUCCCUACAAAAAAAACCUGACUUUGUAUGAAAAAAUAAAUGUGAAAUUCACACCUUUUUACAUAAUUCGUGACGUGUACUACUUAAAUCAGUAAAAUUAAGUUGAUACCUUUUACGUGAUUUUUUUUUUAUAGAAAAAAAUUCCCUGUUCGUAAAAUAAGUGUGGUUUCUUGUACCAAAUUAAAUAAUAAAUACAUAAAUUAGGAAGAAGAAAAA